AUUGAACGCUGGCGGAAUGCUUUACACAUGCAAGUCGAGCGGCAGCGCGGCCUUCGGGCUGGCGGCGAGCGGCGAACGGGUGAGUAAUGCAUCGGAACAUGCCCAGUCGUGGGGGAUAACACUUCGAAAGAAGUGCUAGUACCGCAUACGUCCUGAGGGGGAAAGCGGGGGAUCGCAAGACCUCGCGCGAUUGGAGUGGCCGAUGUCAGAUUAGCUAGUUGGUGGGGUAAAGGCCUACCAAGGCGACGAUCUGUAGCUGGUCUGAGAGGAUGAUCAGCCACACUGGGACUGAGACACGGCCCAGACUCCUACGGGAGGCAGCAGUGGGGAAUUUUGGACAAAGGGGGCAACCCUGAUCCAGCCAUUCCGCGUGAGUGAAGAAGGCCUUCGGGUUGUAAAGCUCUUUCGGCAGGAACGAAACGGUGGGCUCUAACAUAGUCCGCUAAUGACGGUACCUGAAGAAGAAGCACCGGCUAACUACGUG
rnacentral:rRNA from 1 species